rnacentral:rRNA from 1 species
UAUAACCUACAAGCUUGCCAGAAUAAUACGAACGCUGUUUAAAAUUUAAAGAACUUGGCGGUGUCUAAUCAUCACAGGGGAACCUGUCCCUUAAUUCGAUAAUCCACGAAAACCUUACCUCUUCUAUAAAGCCUGUGUACUGCCGUCGUCAGUCCACCUCUAAAAGAGUGCACAACCGCUAUAACCAAUCUAAUAGUGUACGUCAGGUCAAAGUGCAGCCAAUGAAAAGGGGAAGAUGGGUUACAACCUUAAUACAGAUACAAACUUCUCUACAAACCCGAGAACGAAGGAGGACUUGUCAGUAAUACACAUAACUUUAUGUGUAUGAACAUGAAUCU